rnacentral:rRNA from 1 species
ACAGAGGGGGCAAGCGUUGCUCGGAAUUACUGGGCGUAAAGGGCGCGUAGGCGGGAUGGCAAGUCGGUCGUGAAAUCCCUCGGCUCAACCGAGGAACGUCGAUCGAUACUGCUGUUCUUGAGGAUUGCAGAGGAGACUGGAAUUCCCGGUGUAGCGGUGAAAUGUGUAGAGAUCGGGAGGAACACCGGUGGCGAAGGCGAGUCUCUGGGAUGAUGCUGACGCUGAGGCGCGAAAGCCAGGGGAGCAAACGGGA